UAGUGCCCGCCUUGCAGCGCACUUCUUGCAGACAGUUCGGUGGUUCCUCCCAGUUUCUUCGGCAGUUACUCCCGCAAACGCUUUCAGGAAUGAACUGCAAAACAUCGCAAUUCAACUAACAAGAGGUAUUUUCGUGAAUACAGGUACAGUAAAGUGGUUCAACGACGCCAAAGGCUUCGGUUUCAUUACCCCAUCAGACGGCAGCAAGGAUGUCUUCGUGCAUCACUCUGCCGUCCAAGGUUCGGGCUUCAAGAGCCUGACCGAAGGUCAGCAGGUGAAAUAUGAACUGCAAGAUGGUCCGAAAGGUCCGUCGGCAGCGAACGUUCAGCCAGCCUAACGCCAAAUACUGCGAAAGCAGGCUUUGAAACGAAGACGCCGCCGAAAGGCGGGGUCUUUUUU
rfam:Candidatus Muproteobacteria bacterium RIFCSPLOWO2_01_FTLL_60_18 rifcsplowo2_01_scaffold_2250, whole genome shotgun sequence.